AGUGAACGCUGGCGGUAGGCCUAACACAUGCAAGUCGAACGGCAGCACAGUAAGAGCUUGCUCUUACGGGUGGCGAGUGGCGGACGGGUGAGGAAUACAUCGGAAUCUACUUUUUUGUGGGGGAUAACGUAGGGAAACUUACGCUAAUACCGCAUACGACCUACGGGUGAAAGCAGGGGAUCUUCGGACCUUGCGCGAUUGAAUGAGCCGAUGUCGGAUUAGCUAGUUGGCGGGGUAAAGGCCCACCAAGGCGACGAUCCGUAGCUGGUCUGAGAGGAUGAUCAGCCACACUGGAACUGAGACACGGUCCAGACUCCUACGGGAGGCAGCAGUGGGGAAUAUUGGACAAUGGGCGCAAGCCUGAUCCAGCCAUACCGCGUGGGUGAAGAAGGCCUUCGGGUUGUAAAGCCCUUUUGUUGGGAAAGAAAAGCAGCAGGUUAAUACCCCGCUGUUCUGACGGUACCCAAAGAAUAAGCACCGGCUAACUUCGU
rnacentral:rRNA from 1 species